rnacentral:rRNA from 1 species
UGCCUAGCCGUAAACUUUUAUUUACACCCAAUCGCCAGGGAAAUACGAGCUAAGCUUAAAACCCAAAGGACUUGACGGUACCCCCAUAUCCCCCUAGAGGAGCCUGUCCUAUAAUCGAUAAUCCACGUUAAACCUCACCAUUUUUAGUUAAUCAGCCUGUAUACCUCCGUCGUCAGCUUACCACGUGAGCGCCAAUUAGUGAGCUUAAUGUUUUUCACCAAUACGUCAGGUCAAGGUGCAGCAAAUAAAGUGGGAAGAGAUGGGCUACACUCUCUAUUUUAGAAAAAACGAAAAACUACCUAUGAAACCUAGUUAGAAGGCGGAUUUAGCAGUAAAAAGGAAUCAGCAUGUCCCUUUUAAUCCGGCACUGGGGUGUGUACACACCGCCCGUCACCCUCUUCAAAGCUUCAAACACAG